CCCCCUUAUAAGAAUAUAAUGCGCGUCCCCAUUAAACAAAUCAUCUUCCGGGUCGCUAGUAAAAUGAAAUUAUUUUUAGAUCCUGACGCGGACGUGUUAGAGAACACCCUGUACAAGUGUAGAGUAUAAUGCAUGCUAUAUGUACACCAACCAAAUUCUUUGAGGUCAAUAGCUUUUAGUUUAUAUAUGUGAGUUUUAAGCAAAUUUGUUUUUAAAAGAUAAUUUAGUUGAACACAAAGGACGUCAAAGAUACCCUGCACAGUUUUGAAAUGUAUAAUAACUGUAUACUGUAUACAGGAUUGUUUUCACAAGUUCAUGAAGUGAUCAGUGAUAAUAUUUUGCCGGCAUCUUCAUAAUAAAGAAAAAUCAUAAUAUUAGAUUUACACUUUCCGGAGCUAACAUCUUUGUAACCUCAUGUUUAAGUCGGUGGCAGUGUUAUGAAUGAGGUGUAUACGUACGUAUAUAUAUAAUGUUACAGUUUGUUGCAUAUGGAUGGUAUUUCGUACAUAGUUUUGUUGCUUUUACGAAGACACGAUAGUAUAAUCAUAAAGAUAUAUACACCCGGUCAAUCACUUUUGUUAUAAUAUCAAGCAAGUCGACCACGUGUAAGGGUGAAUAUAAAGCCUGUUGGAGCAACCAUUCACUGCGAUCACUUAUAUUUCAAAUUAGCACUGUGUAUGGAAUUACCUCUAAAGUUUGACUUUGCGAAACUGUUGUGGUUAUCUCCAUUCUUGGGCUUAAAAAACUUAACUAAACAAAAUCUUUGAAAAUAGAAUUCUGUAUCUAAUGUUCUGCAAAUAUGGCGAAGAUAGUGAUGAUGUCAGAAGGAUCAAAAUCAGCGAUUGGCUUAUAUGUUUAUAUUUGUUAGCAGUACUAAAAGAAUUUGUUAGACCGUACAUGUAAAACUUCAAAACACUAUCUAUUAUAUGUCCACGUUAGCGAUUGGUUGAAUCACACUGUCCAGUUUUUGUUAACGAUAUUAUCAGAAUUUUGUUAGACCGCACGGUCUCGCGGUCUUACUUUGUUAGUUAUAUAAGAAGACUAAAAAACCUAAUAUAUUUC
rnacentral:lncRNA from 1 species